GUUCGCGUUGGGACUUCGAGGGCUGUACUUUGAACUGUGCCGCCGCUAAACUACACCGAAAAGAAAUGGCAUCCGAUGAGGGGAAAUUAUUUGUUGGUGGACUCAGUUUUGACACCAAUGAACAAUCACUCGAGCAAGUUUUUUCUAAAUACGGACAGAUAUCUGAAGUUGUUGUUGUAAAAGACAGAGAAACCCAGAGAUCCAGAGGGUUUGGCUUUGUAACUUUUGAGAACAUUGAUGAUGCAAAAGAUGCGAUGAUGGCCAUGAAUGGGAAGUCUGUUGAUGGCCGCCAGAUCAGAGUUGAUCAAGCAGGCAAGUCCUCUGAUAACCGGUCUCGUGGAUAUAGAGGGGGAUCAGCUGGAGGCAGAGGCUUUUUCCGUGGAGGCCGAGGUAGAGGUCGUGGAUUCUCCAGAGGUACUGGAGACAGAGGUUAUGGGGGCAGCAGAUUUGAAUCUAGAAGUGGGGGAUACAGUGGAUCCAGAGACUAUUAUGGAAGCAGCAGAAGUCAAGGAAGUUAUGGAGACAGGCCUUCAGGAGGAUCCUAUAGAGACAGUUAUGACAGUUACGGUUGAUGGAAGAGAUGGACACUUGAGCCGGAAAUGGAUGUUUCAACGCUGAGGACCAAAGUCUUAACUGAAACCAUCAGCUUUGCACACAACAGCUGCAUGUUUCUUGGAAGAGGAUCGACCAGGAUCAUGGCAAUUCUGAAGGAAAACAGGAUUGUGAAUUAGAAUGCUCUGAGUGACCCGAGGACAUGUACAAAACUUAAUAAAACAAUAGGGCUAAAAACA